ACAUUUAACUACCGUUCCAAGCCUUGGGGGAGGAAAUCCAUAAAGUUAGCAGUUGCCAUUACAAUAAACAAUUCUACAGUUAUUCUGAGUCUUCCUGUUACAAUUGCUCCUCAUUUAAUACAAAAUACAAGGGGUAAAUACAAAAUACAAGGGGUAAAAGAAAUAUAAUUCUGUUAGACAUUUGACCUUAUAAUCGUAUACCCCAAGGAUUCAUUAAAAUUUCACUAACAUCAGCUAACUCUCAUUAGCAUCUGCAUCCAUAUUUGGUGUUAAGAGAUUUCUGACUGUUUGCAGGGUGAAUCGGCCGCAUUACAUUCAUUGCCAUGCAAGAGAUGUUUAUCAGCACCAUACUGAUAGGGAUCAACACCUGCCUGUUCAGACACGAAAGAGAGGUGACCGUUAAGAUUUCCACCAUUCUGUUAAAUAGCUUGUUAGCUUCAGAUAUGUGUAUUCGUAAUGCAGCUCCUGUAGAUUCCAUUCUCGAAGCAGUGUUGACAGUGUCUCCAAAAAGGCAGUACCUGGGCAUCGUUAAUCCUACAACCCCAGCCACACAAGGACCUGACGGACAAUAACGGCUACGUCACCUAAUUUGACCGUAUUCUUACGCAGCUGUUCAGGUGAUGUUUUGAGCGACAGGCAGAAGAAAAUCUAUUCACUGGCCGUUUGAAGUAGUGGGCUAAUUUGCUGGGAUGUUGUCAGUUAAUAAAACCAGUU